AAUGGAUGCUGAUUUUCGAUUCAG
rnacentral:siRNA from 1 species